rnacentral:lncRNA from 1 species
UGCAGACUGGAUAAUGAGUGCGGAGGAAGAAAAGUCAGGGUCCGUACCAUCAAGAGACCCUCUUGCUGAGGAGGAAAUUGAGCCCAGUGAUGAGUCAAAUCACCGCCAAUACCUGCACAGGUUAUUUGGUGAGGCGACCGCUAAGUAUUUCCUCAGCCACUCCACCUUGGAGACAGACACGCCCCCAUGGUACACUCACAUGAUGGAUCGCAUGGGAGGUACCAGACACACUUAUUACACCAGCGUGUGUGUGUGAGUGUGUGUGUGUUUGUGUGUGUGUGUGUAUGUGUGUCAGUGUGUGUGUGUGUGUGUAAGUGAGUGUGUGUCUGUGUGGUGGUGGUGGGGUGGCGGUUGUCUUUUAACAUGCUGUCCUUGAGUUAUUCCUUGUGUCUUUACCUUUUUCCAUACCAGUAAUACAAAUAAAAAGGUCAAAGCCCAUACA